GAACUGCGAUAAGUAAUGUGAAUUGCAGAAUUCAGUGAAUCAUCGAGUCUUUGAACGCACAUUGCGCCCCCUGGCAUUCCGGGGGGCAUGCCUGUCCGAGCGUCAUUGCUGCCCUUCAAGCCCGGCUUGUGUGUUGGGCCGUCGUCCCCUCCGGGGGACGGGCCCGAAAGGCAGCGGCGGCACCGCGUCCGGUCCUCGAGCGUAUGGGGCUUUGUCACCCGCUCGAUAAGGACCGGCCGGGCGCCAGCCGGCGUCUCCAACCUUUUUUUCUCAGGUUGACCUCGGAUCAGGUAGGGAUACCCGCUGAACUUAAGC
rnacentral:misc_RNA from 1 species